UGGGGAAUAUUGGACAAUGGGCGAAAGCCUGAUCCAGCAAUGCCGCGUGAGUGAAGAAGGCCUUAGGGUUGUAAAGCUCUUUUACCCGGGAUGAUAAUGACAGUACCGGGAGAAUAAGCCCCGGCUAACUCCGUGCCAGCAGCCGCGGUAAUACGGAGGGGGCUAGCGUUGUUCGGAAUCACUGGGCGUAAAGCGCACGUAGGCGGCUUUCCAAGUCAGGGGUGAAAUCCCGGGGCUUAACCCCGGAAUUGCCUUUGAAACUGGAUCGCUUGAAUCUGGGAGAGGUGAGUGGAAUUCCGAGUGUAGAGGUGAAAUUCGUAGAUAUUCGGAAGAACACCAGUGGCGAAGGCGGCUCACUGGACCAGUAUUGACGCUGAGGUGCGAAAGCGUGGGGAGCAAACA
rnacentral:rRNA from 1 species